GAGUUUGAUCGUGGCUCAGAGUGAACGCUGGCGGUAGGCCUAACACAUGCAAGUCGAACGGUAACAGGUCUUUCGGGAUGCUGACGAGUGGCGGACGGGUGAGGAAUACAUCGGAAUCUGCUCAGUCGUGGGGGAUAACGCAUGGAAACGUGCGCUAAUACCGCACACGACCUUCGGGUGAAAGCAGGGGAAUCUCUCGGGAUCCUUGCGCGAUUGAAUGAGCCGAUGUCGGAUUAGCUAGUUGGUAGGGUAAAAGCCUACCAAGGCCACGAUCCGUAGCUGGUCUGAGAGGAUGAUCAGCCACACUGGGACUGAGACACGGCCCAGACUCCUGCGGGAGGCAGCAGUGGGGAAUAUUGGACAAUGGGGGCAACCCUGAUCCAGCCAUACCGCGUGGGUGAAGAAGGCCUUCUGGGUUGUAAAGCCCUUUUGUUGGGGAAGAAAAACAACGGGUUAAUACCCCGUUGGUAUGAAGGUACCCAAAGAAUAAGCACCGGCUAACUUCGUGCCAGCAGCCGCGGUAAUACGAAGGGUGCAAGCGUUACUCGGAAUUACUGGGCGUAAAGGGUGCGUAGGUGGUUGCGCCAGUCUGUCGUGAAAGCCCUGGGCUUAACCUGGGAAUGGCGAUGGAAACUGUGCAACUAGAGUGUGACAGAGGGUGGUGGAAUUCCUGGUGUAGCAGUGAAAUGCGUAGAGAUCAGGAGGAACAUUCGUGGCGAAGGCGGCCACCUGGGUCAACACUGACACUGAGGCACGAAAGCGUGGGGAGCAAACAGGAUUAGAUACCCUGGUAGUCCACGCCCUAAACGAUGCGAACUGGAUGUUGGGUCCAACUUGGGAUUC
rnacentral:rRNA from 1 species